rnacentral:rRNA from 1 species
ACGGGAGGCAGCAGUGGGGAAUCUUAGACAAUGGGGGCAACCCUGAUCUAGCCAUGCCGCGUGAGUGAUGAAGGCCUUAGGGUCGUAAAGCUCUUUCGCCUGUGAUGAUAAUGACAGUAGCAGGUAAAGAAACCCCGGCUAACUCCGUGCCAGCAGCCGCGGUAAUACGGAGGGGGUUAGCGUUGUUCGGAAUUACUGGGCGUAAAGCGCGCGUAGGCGGAUUAGAAAGUUGGGGGUGAAAUCCCGGGGCUCAACCCCGGAACUGCCUCCAAAACUGCUAGUCUAGAGUUCGAGAGAGGUGAGUGGAAUUCCGAGUGUAGAGGUGAAAUUCGUAGAUAUUCGGAGGAACACCAGUGGCGAAGGCGGCUCACUGGCUCGAUACUGACGCUGAGGUGCGAAAGUGUGGGGAGCAAACAGGAUUANAUACCCUGGUAGUCCACACCGUAAA